rnacentral:rRNA from 1 species
AUUGAACGCUGGCGGAAUGCCGAACACAUGCAAGUCGAGCGGAGUAGCAAUACUCAGCGGCGGACGGGAGAGGAAUACAUAGGAACUUGCCUUUAGGUGGGGGAUAGCUUGGGGAAACUCAAGGUAAUACCGCAUGAUCUCGCAAGGGCAAAGGGGUGCAAGUCUCGCCUUUAGAGAGGCCGAUGUCUGAUUAGCUAGUUGGCGGUGUAAUAGACCGCCAAGGCGACGAUCAGUAACUGGUCGUAGAGGACGAUCAGUCACAGCGGCACUGGGGCACGGUCCGUGCUCCUACGGGAGGCAGCAGUGGGGAAUAUUGGACAAUGUGCGAAAGCCUGAUCCAGCGAUGCCGCGUGUGUGAAGAAGGCCUUCGGGUUGUAAAGCACGUUAGUGAGGGAAGAAACAGCUUAGCCACACCAAGCCUUGACGUUACCUCAAGAAUAAGCACCUGCUAACUCUGUGCCAGCAGCCGCGGUAA